rnacentral:rRNA from 1 species
CCUGGUUGAUCCUGCCAGUAGUCAUAUGCUUGUCUCAAAGAUUAAGCCAUGCAUGUCUAAGUACACACUUUGGUAAAGUGAAACCGCGAAUGGCUCAUUAAAUCAGCUACAAUUUAUUAGAUCGUACACUGUUACUUGGAUAACUGUGGGAAUUCUAGAGCUAAUACAUGCCGAGAGUCUCUGCUCUUCGGGGCAGAGCGCAGUUAUUAGACCAAAACCAGCCGUAUUCUUCGGGGUACGCUCUUUUGGUGACUCUGGAUAACCUUCAGCCGAUCGCAUGGCCUCGUGCCGGCGACGUAUCUUUCAAGUGUCUGCCCUAUCAACUUUCGAUGGUACGUGAUAUGCCUACCAUGGUGAUAACGGGUAACGGGGAAUCAGGGUUCGAUUCCGGAGAGGGAGCCUGAGAAACGGCUACCACAUCCAAGGAUGGCAGCAGGCGCGCAAAUUACCCACUCCCAGCUUGGGGAGGUAGUGACGAAAAAUAACAAUGCGGGACUCUAAGAGGCCCCGUAAUUGGAAUGAGUACACCUUAAAUCGUUUAACGAGUAUCAAUUGGAGGGCAAGUCUGGUGCCAGCAGCCGCGGUAAUUCCAGCUCCAAUAGCGUAUAUUAAAGUUGCUGCAGUUAAAAAGCUCGUAGUUGGAUCUGGGGCUUGAGGUCGCUGUCUAUCGUUUCGGCGAUGACGGUGAUGCUCAGCUCUGCUUGCCGGUGACUGUUGCGGUGUUCUUCACUGAGCGCUGUAGCAGCACGGCACGUUUACUUUGAAAAAAUUAGAGUGCUCAAAGCGUGCUUGUCGCUUGAAUAAUGUUGCAUGGAAUAAUGGAAUAGGACCUCGGUUCUAUUUUGUUGGUUUUCGGAGCUUGAGGUAAUGAUUAAGAGGGACGAACGGGGGCAUUCGUAUUGCGGUGUUAGAGGUGAAAUUCUUGGAUCGCCGCAAGACGGACUACUGCGAAAGCAUUUGCCAAGAACGCUUUCAUUAAUUAAGAGCGAAAGUCAGAGGUUCGAAGACGAUCAGACACCGUCCUAGUUCUGACCAUAAACGAUGCCGACCAGCGAUCCGUAGUGGUUACUUUAUGGACCCUACGGGCAGCCUCCGGGAAACCAAAGUAAUUGGGUUCCGGGGGAAGUAUGGUUGCAAAGCUGAAACUUAAAGGAAUUGACGGAAGGGCACACCAGGAGUGGAGCCUGCGGCUUAAUUUGACACAACACGGGAAAACUCACCCGGUCCGGACACCGUAAGGAUUGACAGACUGAUAGCUCUUUCUUGAUUCGGUGGAUGGUGGUGCAUGGCCGUUCUUAGUUGGUGGAGUGAUUUGUCUGGUUAAUUCCGAUAACGAACGAGACUCUAGCCUGCUAAGUAGUGUUGCUAUUGUUAUAUGGUUGACACUUCUUAGAGGGACAAGUGGCAUUUAGCCACGCGAAAUUGAGCAAUAACAGGUCUGUGAUGCCCUUAGAUGUCCGGGGCCGCACGCGCGCUACACUGGAGAAGUCAGCGUGUGUUAUCCAAGUCCGAAAGGGCUGGGUAAUCCGUUGAACCUUCUUCGUGCUUGGGACUGUGGCUUGGAACUAUUCCACAUGAACGAGGAAUUCCUAGUAAUUGCAAGUCAUAAGCUUGCGUUGAUUACGUCCCUGCCCUUUGUACACACCGCCCGUCGCUACUACCGAUUGAAUGGUUUAGCAAGGUCCUCGGAUCGUGGCCGUAGGGGCACGCAAGUGUUUCUGCGGUUUGCGAGAAGACGACCAAACUUGAUCAUUUAGAGGAAGUAAAAGUCGUAACAAGGUU